AAAAAGAUAAGCUAAUUAAGCUCAUGGAUUCAUACUCCACAAAUAGAAGUAAAAUCUUCUUCUUUUUA
rnacentral:tRNA from 1 species